CUGUUAAAUGUGGCUGUAGGUUUUGCAGUACAGUACAGCUAAAUUCUACAGUAUGAUACAAUAUCAUGUCUUUACAGCACAGUGUUGUAGUUAAUGUUGCAUUCUGGGUAAUAUUAUUGACGCGGGAAUAUAUUACAGUACAUUUCCCCGCAUACUGUAACUUUGCUGCCACCUUGCUGUAAUAUCGAGAACGAAGUUCUGCCAACCCGACGACUUUACUCCUCUUCUGAAGACAUGACCCAUAGUGGAAUGAGCGCAAGUCAUUGAAAUUUGUUCACUGAAGCCGUGGCAGAGGUAGAGGGGCACGAGAGAUUGCCUGACACACCCAGACUCAUUAUGGUUGGACCCUCGCUCAUGACAGCAAAAAGAUGGAUGGUGUCCAUUGAAGGAAGAGUUGCUAUUACAUUCACUGGAUCAGACAGUUUUCCUGCUGCUUUCGCCACUCUUUUUGCAUCGUAUUACGUCUUAAACAUGGAAUACCAAGAGUCAGCUGCAUGCACUUUGGAGCUUGUUCAAAGAUUUCUGGUGAGAAUUAAUCCGGAAGAUGGAAAGAAAUGCACAGCCCGACAGGGAGUGAGCAAGAAGACCGGACGAAUUGUCCAGAAAAAAGCACCACCCAUCAACUCCCACGUUAAUAACUUCAUUCGCUCCUUGCUGGACUUUGAAUGGCAGACCUCUAACUAAGCAGUUACAUCUAACAGGUUUUGUGUGUGUGUGUGUGUGAGAGAGAGAGGGGGGGGGGUUAAAUGUUUGUGUGUGCAUGUAUGUAUGUGAUACCACUUGUGUGAGCAGCUCAGAGAAGAAAGGGAAAAAAAAGCAGGGGAGAGAGGUGUCUUUGAGUGAUGUUUGUAUCAGUGAGUGGGUGGGGGUGGGGACUGAUUUACUUGUUUCAGACUUUUGAGUUAAAAUAGUUCUGCUUUAAACAUUACACUAGAUUGUGUGUGACGUCACAGUGCCAGAUGAAAAACAAAAUGAAAAAAGAUGAGAAGGAAGGUGUGUGUGUGUGUAUACGUGGAGGAGAACCUGUUUCAAACUUUUGUUUGUUUAAAUACUUGAAGUAAUACAAGUUCUGUUUGAAACUUGACAGUCUGCUCUGUACUUUUUAAAAUGUAAAAUUAUUGAAGCAACAACUGUUCAAAAUGUUGCCUUUGCAUGAGUAAGAAGAGUGACUCUCGUUAAUGGUUUUAAUGCAAUGUGUGUGUGUGUGUGUGUGUGUGUGUGGCUAUAGGUAGAGGAGGACCUGUGUCUCAAACUAAUGUAAUUAGUUGUUUAAAUACUUGAUUAAAUACUAGCUCUGCUUUAAACUAAAAUAAUUGAAGCAACACCUUAAUGUGGAAAUCGUUGCCUUUGCAGAGAGUCUCGGUCGGUCUCUCUCUGUGUAGCAAAAGUUAAUGAUAUUGUAAUGUGUUUCAGUGUUUUUAAUGUGUUUCAGUGUUUCAGCUUGUGUAAAAUGAAUGAAAUAUCUUCAAGAAUGAUAAAUAAAAGAUUGUUUUGUGUGACUUAA